GACGAACGCUGGCGGCGUGCUUAACACAUGUAAGUCGAACGGAAAGGCCCUGCUUUUGUGGGGUGCUCGAGUGGCGAACGGGUGAGUAACACGUGAGUAACCUGCCCUUGACUUUGGGAUAACUUCAGGAAACUGGGGCUAAUACCGGAUAGGAGCUCUUGCUGCAUGGUGGGGGUUGGAAAGUUUCGGCGGUUGGGGAUGGACUCGCGGCUUAUCAGCUUGUUGGUGGGGUAGUGGCUUACCAAGGCUUUGACGGGUAGCCGGCCUGAGAGGGUGACCGGCCACAUUGGGACUGAGAUACGGCCCAGACUCCUACGGGAGGCAGCAGUGGGGAAUAUUGCACAAUGGGCGGAAGCCUGAUGCAGCAACGCCGCGUGCGGGAUGACGGCCUUCGGGUUGUAAACCGCUUUCGCCUGUGACGAAGCGUGAGUGACGGUAAUGGGUAAAGAAGCACCGGCUAACUACGUG
rnacentral:rRNA from 1 species